rnacentral:rRNA from 1 species
UUGCGAUCUACUCGGCGUUCCGCGCCGCCGGAUAACCGUAGUAAUUCUAGGGCUAAUACGUGCGAAGCGCCCGAAGCCGCGAGGCGACGGGCGUUCUCGCCGGAUGUAGGAACCGACCCCGGGGGACCGCCCGGGGCAACCCCGGGCGCCCCCCGAGACGGGGCGAACCACGGUGAAAUGACGGAUCGUCGGCCCCGCGCCGGCGACUCGCCGAAUGAGUUUCUGACCUAUCAACUCGAGACGGCGGGGUAGAGGCCCGCCGCGGUAACGACGGGUAACGGGGAAUCAGGGUUCGAUUCCGGAGAGGGAGCCCCGAGAAACGGCUACCACUUCCAAGGAAGGCAGCAGGCGCGCAACUUACCCUAAUCUCGAUUCGAGGAGGUAGUGACAAGAAAUACCGAUGCGGGACCCUACGGGUGCCGCGUUCG